GACGAACGCUGGCGGCGUGCUUAACACAUGCAAGUCGAACGGAAAGGCCCUGCUUUUGUGGGGUGCCCGAGUGGCGAACGGGUGAGUAACACGUGAGUAACCUGCCCUUGACUUUGGGAUAACUUCAGGAAACUGGGGCUAAUACCGGAUAGGAGCUCCUGCUGCAUGGUGGGGGUUGGAAAGUUUCGGCGGUUGGGGAUGGACCCGCGGCUUAUCAGCUUGUUGGUGGGGUAGUGGCUUACCAAGGCUUUGACGGGUAGCCGGCCUGAGAGGGUGACCGGCGACAUUGGGACUGAGAUACGGCCCAGACUCCUACGGGAGGCAGAAGUGGGGAAUAUAGCACAAUGGGCGGAAGCCUGAUGCAGCGACGCCGCGUGCGGGAUGACGGCCUUCGGGUUGUGAACCGCUUUCGCCUGUGACGAAGCGUGAGUGACGGUAAUGGGUAAAGAAGCACCGGCUAACUACGUG
rnacentral:rRNA from 1 species